rnacentral:tRNA from 2 species
GCCAGGGUGCUGGAAUCGGUAGACAGGCACGGCUUAGGACCGUGUGCCGCUUGCGGCAUGUGGGUUCGACUCCCACCCCUGGCA